UACGGGGGGGGCAAGCGUUGUUCGGAAUUACUGGGCGUAAAGGGCUCGUAGGUGGCCAACUAAGUCGGACGUGAAAUCCCUCGGCUUAACCGGGGAACUGCGUCCGAUACUGGUUGGCUUGAGUUUGGGAGAGGGAUGCGGAAUUCCAGGUGUAGCGGUGAAAUGCGUAGAUAUCUGAAGGAACACCAGUGGCGAAGGCGGCUACCUGGACUGAUACUGACACUGAGGCGCGAAAGCGUGGGGAGCGAACAGG
rnacentral:rRNA from 1 species